GGGGUUUCGCCAUGUUUGCCAGGCUGGUCUCAAAUUCCUCACCUCAGGUGAUCUGCCUGCCUUGACCUCCCAAAGUGUUGGGAUUACAGGCGUGAGCCACCACGCCCAGCUCUAUAAACUUUCUAUGAUCUCAAAGCCUCCAAGAUUCUUCUCCAGACCCUAAUGGUAUUCCACCUUCACGACCCCUCAUGGCUCCUACUUCUCCACCUUCUCUGCUGCAUCAGACCAUAAGCUCCUUAAAGGCAGUGACCAUGUGUUUACCAGUUAUACUUUACAAAGAACCUACCAAGAUUAUGUUUGCAACAAAUACAGUUGUCCCUCAGUAUCCACAAAUUCAACUGGUAGUGGAUCAAAAAUACCGGAUUCAAGAGAUGCAGAACAUGGCCUACUGUGGGACUUGAGCAUCUGCAGGUUUUGGUAUCCACCAGGGUCCUGGAACCAACCCCUCCAGAUACCAAGGGACAACUGUAUUUGUAAAAUAUUUUUAUUUAUUUAUUUUUUUGAGACAUAGUGUUGCUCUGUCGCCCAGGCCAGGCUGGAGUGCAGUGGCAAGAUCUCGGCUCACUGCAACCUCCACCUCCAGGGCUCAAGCUGGGAUUACAGGUGUGUGCCACCACACCCAGCUGAUUU
rnacentral:lncRNA from 1 species